rnacentral:rRNA from 1 species
GAUGAACGCUGGCGGCGUGCCUAAUACAUGCAAGUCGAGCGAACGGACGAGAAGCUUGCUUCUCUGAUGUUAGCGGCGGACGGGUGAGUAACACGUGGAUAACCUACCUAUAAGACUGGGAUAACUUCGGGAAACCGGAGCUAAUACCGGAUGAUAUUUUGAACCGCAUGGUUCAAAAGUGAAAGACGGUCUUGCUGUCACUUAUAGAUGGAUCCGCGCUGCAUUAGCUAGUUGGUAAGGUAAUGGCUUACCAAGGCAACGAUGCAUAGCCGACCUGAGAGGGUGAUCGGCCACACUGGAACUGAGACACGGUCCAGACUCCUACGGGAGGCAGCAGUAGGGAAUCUUCCGCAAUGGGCGAAAGCCUGACGGAGCAACGCCGCGUGAGUGAUGAAGGUCUUCGGAUCGUAAAACUCUGUCAUUAGGGAAGAACAUAUGUGUAAGUAACUGUGCACAUCUUGACGGUACCUAAUCAGAAAGCCACGGCUAACUACGUG